UUAAUUGGUAAUCUUUCUGACUCGCGAGGUAUACAAGAUAGAAGAAAGCUAUGUAAAGCUAUGUAUCGCGUUAACUACGCGAUGUACACAUACGCGCGUACACACGUUGGUUACCUUCGUAGAAAUAACAAUAGUUGUGUGUACUGUAUCGUCGUAAUUCGGAACAAUACGAUUAUUCAGGAUCGUUUCCCUAUUGGAUUUUAUUAGAGGCUAGUUUUUAAGAAGAGCCAAAGGAAUUGAUAUAUUUAUUGGAACGCGAUUAUCCAAAGUGACGCAGUGCGCAUGUGCCGCGUAGCGAUAUCGUCUUGCCGGUGAAAACAUUCAGCCAUUGGUUAUGUUGUGCCGGCUUCGACACGGGAUCGUAUCGGUCUCAUCGAUUACAGCAAUCGUCGGAGAAAUAAAUAUUUUCAUUGACUCACUGUGUACCGGAAGUGACGUUCUACCAAUUACGGGAUCCUCUUCCCUCCUUGUUAGUCUCGUCGUCGUUUUGGAUGGACUGACAAGUCUACGUGAUAGCUCCGCAUAAUUACAGAUUUCCAAGAAUUCCACGAACACAGUCGUUGAUUACGUCAGCUUCUUUCAUGUACUUUCUCUAUGAUAUG